UUCCUCUUUGGGCAGCACAUUUACUAAAACUGGAAUGAUACAGAGAAGAUUAGCAGUAAGGACAUGGUCAGGUUUUCAAUAUUUUU